GACGAACGCUGGCGGCGUGCCUCAGACAUGCAAGUCGAACGCGAAAGUCCCCUUCGGGGGACAAGUAGAGUGGCGCACGGGUGAGUAACACGUAGGUAAUCCACCUUCGGAUGGGGAAUAACAACCGGAAACGGUUGCUAAUACCGCAUAAUGCAGCGGCACCUAAUGGUGACAGUUGUUAAAGCGGGGGAUCGAAAGACCUCGCGUCUGAAGAGGAGCCUGCGGCGGAUUAGCUAGUUGGAAGGUAACGGCUUACCAAGGCGACGAUCCGUAGCCGGCCUGAGAGGGCGGUCGGCCACACUGACACUGACAUACGGGUCA
rnacentral:rRNA from 1 species